GAUGAACGCUGGCGGCGUGCCUAAUACAUGCAAGUCGAGCGAACAGAUGAGAAGCUUGCUUCUCUGAUGUUAGCGGCGGACGGGUGAGUAACACGUGGGUAACCUACCUAUAAGACUGGGAUAACUCCGGGAAACCGGGGCUAAUACCGGAUAAUAUUUUGAACCGCAUGGUUCGAUAGUGAAAGACGGUUUCGGCUGUCACUUAUAGAUGGACCCGCGCCGUAUUAGCUAGUUGGUAAGGUAACAGCUUACCAAGGCGACGAUACGGAGCCGACCUGAGAGGGGGAUAGGCCACACUGGAACUGAGACACGGUCCAGGCUCCCACGGGAGGCAGAAGUAGGGAACCUUCCGCAAUGGGCGAAAGCCUGACGGAGCAACGCCGCGUGAGUGAUGAAGGUCUUCGGAUCGUAAAACUCUGUUGUUAGGGAAGAACAAAUUUGUUAGUAACUGAACAAGUCUUGACGGUACCUAACCAGAAAGCCACGGCUAACUACGUGCCAGCAGCCGCAGUAA
rnacentral:rRNA from 1 species